rnacentral:tRNA from 1 species
GUCACCGCGGUGCCCGGACUAGCUUGAGGGGCUAGUGCCCGCAAGGGCGUGGGGGUUCAAGUCCCCCCUCCGACA